UUAUUUUGUAAUCAUCCUGUUACUGGGGAAUUAAUUAACUCAUUCAUUGAAGUACAUAAAGAUGAAUUACUAGCUACAGUACUGGAUAAAGCUUAUGAGACAAUGGAAUUAGCUCCUCAUAUUCCUAUUGAGAGAUGUCGUUUAGCUAAAUAUAAUUAUGAGUGUCAUGUAAUGGAACAGUCUUUAGUUUCAACAUCAAACUAUUGGACAGAUCAUGGGCGUAGUUGGAUAUUAUAGUUUAUUUUUAGAAAUUCGUAAAGAAAAUGAAACUUUUAAGAAAUACAAUGCCGAAUGUGGU